GUACAUACUCAAUCACUAGCUCUGCAAGAAAAUGAAGAGGAGAGAGGGGAACAAGAUUUUCUAAAUUGUGGUGAAAGAAAUGUAUUAGCCUCAGGAACUACUGAGAUAGCCCAUUCUAUCCUAACAGUGUU
rnacentral:snoRNA from 1 species